UACGUAGGGUCCAAGCGUUGUCCGGAUUCACUGGGCGUAAAGAGCGCGCAGGCGGUCGUUCAAGUCGGGUGUGAAAGCCCCCGGCUCAACUGGGGAGGGUCACUCGAUACUGAUCGACUCGAAGGCAGGAGAGGGUAGUGGAAUUCCCGGUGUAGUGGUGAAAUGCGUAGAUAUCGGGAGGAACACCAGUGGCGAAGGCGACUACCUGGCCUGUUCUUGACGCUGAGGCGCGAAAGCUAGGGGAGCAAACGGG
rnacentral:rRNA from 1 species